rnacentral:rRNA from 1 species
UACGGGAGGCAGCAGUGGGGAAUAUUGCACAAUGGGCGCAAGCCUGAUGCAGCCAUGCCGCGUGUAUGAAGAAGGCCUUCGGGUUGUAAAGUACUUUCAGUCGUGAGGAAGGUGUUAAGGUUAAUAACCUUAGCAAUUGACGUUAGCGACAGAAGAAGCACCGGCUAACUCCGUGCCAGCAGCCGCGGUAAUACGGAGGGUGCGAGCGUUAAUCGGAAUUACUGGGCGUAAAGGGCACGCAGGCGGUUAAUUAAGUUGGAUGUGAAAUCCCCGGGCUUAACCUGGGAAUGGCAUUCAAGACUGGUUAGCUAGAGUCUUGUAGAGGGGGAUAGAAUUCCAUGUGUAGCGGUGAAAUGCGUAGAGAUGUGGAGGAAUACCGGUGGCGAAGGCGGCCCCUGGGACAAAGACUGACGCUCAUGUGCGAAAGCGUGGGGAGCAAACAGGGAUUAGAUACC